rnacentral:rRNA from 1 species
UACAGAGGGGGCAAGCGUUGUUCGGAAUUACUGGGCGUAAAGGGCGCGUAGGCGGCCGCCUAAGUCAGACGUGAAAUCCCUGGGCUCAACCCAGGAACUGCGUCCGAUACUGGAAGGCUUGAAUCCGGGAGAGGGAUGCGGAAUUCCAGGUGUAGCGGUGAAAUGCGUAGAUAUCAGGAGGAACACCGGUGGCGAAGGCGGGUCUCUGGACAGAUCCUGACGCUGAGGCACGAAGGUCAGGGGAGCAAACGGG